rnacentral:rRNA from 1 species
AUUGAACGCUGGCGGCAUGCCUUACACAUGCAAGUCGAACGGCAGCAUGGGUGCUUGCACCUGAUGGCGAGUGGCGAACGGGUGAGUAAUGCAUCGGAACGUACCCGGAAGUGGGGGAUAACGUAGCGAAAGUUACGCUAAUACCGCAUAUUCUGUGAGCAGGAAAGAGGGGGAUCGCAAGACCUCUCGCUUUCGGAGCGGCCGAUGUCGGAUUAGCUAGUUGGCGGGGUAAAGGCCCACCAAGGCAACGAUCCGUAGCGGGUCUGAGAGGAGGAUCCGCCACACUGGGACGGAGACACGGCCCAGACUCCUACGGGAGGCAGCAGUGGGGAAUUUUGGACAAUGGGGGAAACCCUGAUCCAGCCAUGCCGCGUGAGUGAAGAAGGCCUUCGGGUUGUAAAGCUCUUUCGGCCGGGACGAAAUCGCACGCGUGAAUAUCGCGUGUGGAUGACGGUAUCGGAAGAAGAAGGACCGGCUAACUACGUGCCAGCAGCCGCGGUAA